CCUACGGGCGGCUGCAGUGAGGAAUAUUGGUCAAUGGACGAAAGUCUGAACCAGCCAAGUAGCGUGAAGGAAGACUGCCCUAUGGGUUGUAAACUUCUUUUAUAAGGGAAUAAAACGACGCACGUGUGACUGUUUGCAGGUACUGAAUGAAUAAGGACCGGCUAAAUCCGUGCCAGCAGCCGCGGUAAUACGGAGGGAACGAGCGUUAUCCGGAUGUAUUGGGUUUAAAGGGGGCGUAGGUGGGUUUUUAAGUUAGAUGUGAAAGUUUGAGGCUUAACCUUAAGAUUGCAAUUGAAACUGGCAAACUAGAGUGCAGGUGAGGUAGGCGGAAUUCGUGGUGUAGCGGUGAAAUGCUUAGAUAUCACGAAGAACCCCGAUUGCGAAGGCAGCUUACUGGACUGUGACUGACGUUGAUGCUCGAGAGCGUGGGUAUCAAACAGGAUUAGAUACCCCUGUAGUC
rnacentral:rRNA from 1 species